ensembl:lncRNA
CUUCACUGUUUGAAUGACAGUAUACAUUCAAUAUCAUUGUCAUUUGUACAUUAUCAAAAGAUGGACAUUAGCUGAGGUGAAAUGUAGGCUACAUCCAGCUGACAAUGGUCCCACUGUGGAGUUUCACACCAAGUUUCUGUAUUACCUCAUUGCACAUCAUCUGAAUUGUUGAUUAAUUUGUAGAUUAAUAUGUGAUCUUAAAAGUGUAUCAUUAACUGGUUAUGAGGGAGAUGCAUCAAGUCAAUUAACUUAAUGUAUGUUGUCUGGUGGACUUCCUAAUAUGGAUGCCAUACUUUGGCGCAUGGAGACGGUUGGAUUUGUGCAUCUUGGCCAUUUGUAUCACCAAAUAGAGAGGUAGAAUAUCACAGAGAGAAUAGAACAUCCACUAAGUAAUAAUUAAGCUUAUCGUACUUAGCAAGUGUUCACCAUAAUCAGUCAAAUUAAGGUUUCCAACAGUUCCUAAUUCGAUUUGAAUCGGUGUGGAUUUAUUAUGGGUAAAGUCAAGCAAGCCUGCUCUAUGUGCAUAAUUCGAUUGAGAAUCCUUUGUCUAAUGUGUGUGUGGGCAAAUUUGCUGUGCAGUUAUGUCUGUGUGCGACAGAGAGACGGACACAUAGAGAGCAGAAUAGAUAGAGAAAGAGAGAGAGAGAGAGAGAGAGAGAGAGAGAGAGAGAGAGAGAGAGAGAGAGGAGCACUUUAAAUAUUUUGGCCUCAUUUAAAUUAAACAUAUUACAAUCCUGUAACAUUUCCCUUGUUUCAAAACUAUAUUGCACUAUUUCCCAGAAUAAAUAAGGCGUUUUAAACAACUGCAUGUGAUGAACGUGCGUGGUUACACUGCCUUGUAAGGCUUUGCUCCUUUUCCAUAGUCUGUAAAAGUCCGGCACACUGUCAUUGAGCGUGAUAAUGAUAAGCAGUAUAAUAUCUGAACUCAAUAAUGGGUACCUCACUGCAAAUAGAACCCACUUGGUCAAUAAGAGAAACUGGUUGCAUUACACCUGCUGCUCCGAAUACAUAGAACUUAGAAGCCAUAACCUUAGUAUAAAUUAAUAAACAUAGACUUUUCUUAUGUAAUAAGACACCAAUUUACGUCACUUUUCAGCAUGGGACAACAACACAACAUCUCAAAUAUCUGAUUGAAGCAAUACAUCAUUUUACGCACGAGGUGUUACAAGUGUAUUCAAUGUAAACCAUUGGAGGUGAAUGGUGUCAUCCUGACGAGGUGUAUUCAAUGUAAACCAUUGGGGGUGAAUGGUGUCAUCCUGUCGAGGUGUAUUCAAUGUAAACCAUUGGAGGUGAAUGGUGUCAUCCUGUCGAGGUGUAUUCAAUGUAAACCAUUGGAGGUGAAUGGUG